AGAGUUUGAUCCUGGCUCAGGACGAACGCUGGCGGCGUGCCUAACACAUGCAAGUCGAGCGGAGAUGAUCUGAAGUUUACUUUGGGUUGUCUUAGCGGCGGACGGGUGAGUAACGCGUGGGCAACCUGCCUUUCACAGGGGGAUAACACAGGGAAACUUGUGCUAAUACCGCAUAACACAACGAGGUAGCAUUAUCUUGU
rnacentral:rRNA from 1 species